GGCCUUGUAGCUCAACUGGAUAGAGCGUCUGACUACGGAUCAGAAGGUUGAGGGUUCGACUCCUUCCAAGGUCA
rnacentral:tRNA from 1 species